AUUGAACGCUGGCGGCAGGCCUAACACAUGCAAGUCGAACGGUAACAGGAAGAAGCUUGCUUCUUUGCUGACGAGUGGCGGACGGGUGAGUAAUGUCUGGGAAACUGCCUGAUGGAGGGGGAUAACUACUGGAAACGGUAGCUAAUACCGCAUAACGUCGCAAGACCAAAAAGGGGGACCUUCGGGCCUCUUGCCAUCGGAUGUGCCCAGAUGGGAUUAGCUAGUAGGUGGGGUAACGGCUCACCUAGGCGACGAUCCCUAGCUGGUCUGAGAGGAUGACCAGCCACACUGGAACUGAGACACGGUCCAGACUCCUACGGGAGGCAGCAGUGGGGAAUAUUGCACGAUGGGCGCAAGCCUGAUGCAGCCAUGCCGCGUGUAUGAAGAAGGCCUUCGGGUUGUAAAGUACUUUCAGCGGGGAGGAAGGGAGUAAAGUUAAUACCUUUGCUCAUUGACGUUACCCGCAGAAGAAGCACCGGCUAACUCCGUG
rnacentral:rRNA from 1 species